CGCGCAGGCCCCACCAUGACCGGCUCCGCGGCCGACACUCACCGCUGCCCCCACCCCAAAGGCGCCAAAGGCACCCGGUCCCGAAGCAGCCACGCGCGGCCCGUGAGCCUCGCCACCAGCGGGGGCUCGGAGGAGGAGGACAAAGACGGCGGGGUGCUGUUCCACGUUAACAAGAGCGGCUUCCCCAUCGACAGCCACACCUGGGAGCGCAUGUGGAUGCACGUGGCCAAGGUGCACCCUAAGGGGGGAGAAAUGGUGGGUGCCAUCAGGAACGCCGCCUUCUUGGCAAAGCUUAUUUGGGCUCCAAGAAAAAAGAAAGACUUUUGGCUGAGACUUAAAAGGGACUUUCCACUACACAUGAUGAAUUAGUCUCACUGGAUAGAAAAAGAGGCUGAGGAGUGAAACUCUCUUUUUGCCUUGGAGAGAAGCCAGUGAGCCAUUUGGGUUUGGUGGCUAAGGAUAUCUUUACCGAGGGAGGGAGAUGUCCCCUGGUGGGAGUAGAUAUGUUAUAUGAAACAUCAAAAUGCAAACUGGGGAGAAAUGCUGCCGAGCCUCGGGGUUUUAGCGUGGCGGAUGGUUUCCCCUGGACCCUGGGGACGUUGGUACGGCUGAGAAGAUUCCUGGGCAGGUCUAGGAAUGCCAGACUUGAGACC
rnacentral:sRNA from 1 species